AGUGAACGCUGGCGGUAGGCCUAACACAUGCAAGUCGAACGGCAGCACAGUAAGAGCUUGCUCUUACGGGUGGCGAGUGGCGGACGGGUGAGGAAUACAUCGGAAUCUACUUUUUCGUGGGGGAUAACGUAGGGAAACUUACGCUAAUACCGCAUACGACCUACGGGUGAAAGCAGGGGAUCUUCGGACCUUGCGCGAUUGAAUGAGCCGAUGUCGGAUUAGCUAGUUGGCGGGGUAAAGGCCCACCAAGGCGACGAUCCGUAGCUGGUCUGAGAGGGUGAUCAGCCACACUGGAACUGAGACACGGUCCAGACUCCUACGGGAGGCAGCAGUGGGGAAUAUUGGACAAUGGGCGCAAGCCUGAUCCAGCCAUACCGCGUGGGUGAAGAAGGCCUUCGGGUUGUAAAGCCCUUUUGUUGGGAAAGAAAAGCAGCAGGUUAAUACCCCGCUGUUCUGACGGUACCCAAAGAAUAAGCACCGGCUAACUUCGU
rnacentral:rRNA from 1 species